CCUACGGGAGGCAGCAGUAGGGAAUAUUCCGCAAUGGACGAAAGCCUGACCGAGCAACGCCGCGUGAGUGAUGAAGGUCUUCGGAUCGUAAAACUCUGUUGGUAGAGAAGAACGAUCACGUUAGUAAUCAACCGUGCAUUGACGGUAUCUACCCAGGAAGCCCCGGCUAACUCCGUGCCAGCAGCCGCGGUAAUACGGAGGGUGCAAGCGUUGACCGGAUUUACUGGGCGUAAAGCGAGCGUAGGCGGUUUCUUAAGUCUAGGGUGAAAUCCCCGGGCUCAACCGGGGAGGGUCAUUGGAAACUGGGAGACUGGAGUGCAGAAGAGGAGAGUGGAAUUCCAGGUGUAGCGGUGAAAUGCGUAGAUAUAUGGAGGAACACCAGUGGCGAAGGCGACUAUCUGGGCUGUAACUGACGCUGAGGCUCGAAAGCGUGGGGAGCAAACAGGAUUAGAUACCCUUGUAGUC
rnacentral:rRNA from 1 species